UUGAGGGAGACACACCCAAAUCGCAUACCAGUGAUUUUGAAGAAGGAUGCAAGUAGUGACAUUCCUGACACGGACGGGGAGAAGUUA